rnacentral:rRNA from 1 species
GAUGAACGCUAGCUACAGGCUUAACACAUGCCAGUCGAGGGGAAACGCCAUCGAAAGCUUGCUUUUGAUGGGCGUCGACCGGCGCACGGGUGAGUAACGCGUAUCCAACCUGCCCAUCACUUGGGAAUAACCUUGCGAAAGUAAGACUAAUACCCAAUGACAUCCCACGAAGACAUCUGAAUGGGAUUAAAGAUUUAUCGGUGAUGGAUGGGGAUGCGUCUGAUUAGCUUGUUGGCGGGGUAACGGCCCACCAAGGCAACGAUCAGUAGGGGUUCUGAGAGGAAGGUCCCUCACAUUGGAACUGAGACACGGUCCAAACUCCUACGGGAGGCAGCAGUGAGGAAUAUUGGUCAAUGGGCGAGAGCCUGAACCAGCCAAGUAGCGUGCAGGAUGACGGCCCUAUGGGUUGUAAACUGCUUUUAUAAGGGAAGAAAGUGGGUCUCGUGAGACUUUUUGCAUGUACCUUAUGAAUAAGGACCGGCUAAUUCCGUG